rnacentral:rRNA from 1 species
GCGCUAGAUGGCGCAGCCUGAUCAGCCAUGCCGCGUGAGUGAUGAAGGCCCUAGGGUUGUAAAGCUCUUUCAGCGAGGAGGAUAAUGACGUUACUCGCAGAAGAAGCCCCGGCUAACUUCGUGCCAGCAGCCGCGGUAAUACGAAGGGGGCUAGCGUUGUUCGGAAUCACUGGGCGUAAAGCGCACGUAGGCGGACUGAUCAGUCAGGGGUGAAAUCCCGGGGCUCAACCCCGGAACUGCCUUUGAUACUGUCAGUCUUGAGUCCGAGAGAGGUGAGUGGAACUCCGAGUGUAGAGGUGAAAUUCGUAGAUAUUCGGAAGAACACCAGUGGCGAAGGCGGCUCACUGGCUCGGUACUGACGCUGAGGUGCGAAAGCGUGGGGAGCAAACAGGAUUAGAUACCCCCGGUAGUCA